rnacentral:rRNA from 1 species
UACGUAGGUGGCAAGCGUUGUCCGGAUUUACUGGGCGUAAAGAGCGCGCAGGCGGUCGCUCAAGUCGCGUGUGAAAGCCCCCGGCUCAACUGGGGAGGGUCACGCGAUACUGAUCGACUGGAAGGCAGGAGAGGGUAGUGGAAUUCCCGGUGUAGUGGUGAAAUGCGUAGAUAUCUGGAGGAACACCGGUGGCGAAGGCGGCAUCCUGGACCGGUAUUGACGCUGAGGCGCGAAAGCCAGGGGAGCAAACGGG